AUUGAACGCUGGCGGCAGGCUUAACACAUGCAAGUCGAGCGAGCGGCGGACGGGUGAGUAAUGUCUGGGAAACUGCCUGAUGGAGGGGGAUACCUACUGGAAACGGUAGCUAAUACCGCAUACCAUCAGAUUUGCCCAGAUGGGAUUAGCUAGGAGGUGGGGUAAUGGCUCACCUAGGCAACGAUCCCUAGCUGGGCUGAGAGGAUGACCAGCCACACGGGAACUGAGACACGGUCCAGACUCCUACGGGGGGCAGCAGUGGGGAAUAUUGCACAAUGGGCGCAAUCCUGAUGCAGCCAUGCCGCGUGUGUGAAGAAGGCCUUCGGGUUGUAAAGCACUUUCAGCGAGGAGGCGUUACUCGCAGAAGAAGCACCGGCUAACUCCGUGCCAGCAGCCGCGGUAAUUC
rnacentral:rRNA from 1 species